rnacentral:rRNA from 1 species
GACGAACGCUGGCGGCGUGCUUAACACAUGCAAGUCGUACGGUAAGGCCCUUUCGGGGGUACACAAGUGGCGAACGGGUGAGUAACACGUGCGUAACCUGCCCACAACUUUGGGAUAACGCUAGGAAACUGGUGCUAAUACUGGAUAUGUGCCCCUGCUGCAUGGUGGGGGUUGGAAAGCUCCGGCGGUUGUGGAUGGACUCGCGGCCUAUCAGCUUGUUGGUGGGGUAGUGGCCUACCAAGGCGGCGACGGGUAGCCGGCCUGAGAGGGUGACCGGCCACAUUGGGACUGAGAUACGGCCCAGACUCCUACGGGAGGCAGCAGUGGGGAAGAUUGCACAAUGGGCGCAAGCCUGAUGCAGCAACGCCGCGUGCGGGAUGACGGCCUUGGGGUUGUAAACCGCUUUCAGCAGGGACGAAGCUUUUUGUGACGGUACCUGCAGAAGAAGCACCGGCUAACUACGUG